rnacentral:rRNA from 1 species
UGGGGAAUAUUGCACAAUGGGCGCAAGCCUGAUGCAGCAACGCCGCGUGAACGAUGAAGGUCUUCGGAUCGUAAAGUUCUGUUGCAGGGGAAGAUAAUGACGGUACCCUGUGAGGAAGCCCCGGCUAACUACGUGCCAGCAGCCGCGGUAAUACGUAGGGGGCUAGCGUUAUCCGGAUUUACUGGGCGUAAAGGGUGCGUAGGUGGUCUUUCAAGUCGGUGGUUAAAGGCUACGGCUCAACCGUAGUUAGCCUCCGAAACUGGAAGACUUGAGUGCUGGAGAGGAAAGUGGAAUUCCUAGUGUAGCGGUGAAAUGCGUAGAUAUUAGGAGGAAUACCGGUGGCGAAGGCGACUUUCUGGACUUUUACUGACGCUCAGGUACGAAAGCGUGGGGAGCAAACAGG